GUUUUGUCUCUGUUGGUAAUGGGGAUUGAACCGAAGACAUCAUGGUGCUCACGCUCGUCAUUGACCACUAGGUCAUGCUAGUUUAAGAAUUUCUAAGAAUGCUGGCGAUCUUCUUAGCAGUCUGUCUCUUCUUGCAUUAAGCUCUUAACCCCCCUUUCAGCUGAUAAUGAUCUCAAAAGAGUGACAAGAAUACUGAUUCCAAGAAGAGACAGACUGCUAAGAAGAUCGCCAGCAUUCUUAGAAAUCCUUCAGCAUUAAAGACAAAAGCUCGUCUGCAACAGUCACAAUUGAAGAAGAAUAGUAAUCUAGCUAGUGCGAGAAAGCAAGCAAUCACGAAAGUGCUGUUGGAACGCAUAAUCUUGCACAAGAAAACCAAGCUAUAAAAAGACAGAAACUAGAAGGCGGAAAAUCCAAACCGGUGAAUUUUAUCUUUCAGAUCUUAUUUGGAUAUGCAUAAUAUCUCACUUUUUAUCUGACCAUGCUUCUUCUUUCCUCCGAACACGGUAAAUUCUUAAUGUCAAACCCCAGAAUCUGCCACACAAAGCCAAAGUUGGAGUUGUUAGCAGCAGUUCCACCUUGUUUGCUUCUUCUUUCCUUCGAACACGGUAAAUUCUUAAUGUCAAACCCCAGAAUCUGCCGCACAAAGCCAAAGUUGGAGUUGCUAGCAGCAGUUCUACCUUGUUUGCUUUGACUGCAGAGAAGUUCAUAAGCAAGACAGAAAGAUGUAUGCUCGGGAACCAGUUCCUCCAUUCGUUUCAAUAGCAGAAAUGAUGAAAAAGUUCCAAUCUAGCACCAGGGAGAUGUCACUGCCUCCCAUGAGCAAUUCAACUUCA